rnacentral:misc_RNA from 1 species
GCAAACUUGGUCAUUUAGAGGAAGUAAAAGUCGUAACAAGGUUUCCGUAGGUGAACCUGCGGAAGGAUCAUUAUUGAAUAAUCUGCCUUGAUGGGUUGUAGCUGGCCUCUUGAGGCAUGUGCACGCCUGUCUUGACUCUAUUCAUCCACCUGUGCACUUAUUGUAGUUCUUUACUCUUUGAUGGUCAAGAAAAACAGGCUGUUAUUCAGUUGAAACACACUGGAUUUGAGGAUUGCCUUUUGGCUUUCCUCUCCCUAGCCUUGUGAAAUCAUGCCUUCUUGGGAGAAAGGGACUAUGUCUUUUAUCAUAAACCAUGUAGUAUGUUGUCAGAAUGUAUUCAAUGGGCUUUCUGUGCCUAUAAAACCUUAUACAACUUUCAGCAACGGAUCUCUUGGCUCUCGCAUCGAUGAAGAACGCAGC